rnacentral:rRNA from 1 species
CAGUCGCCGCGGGAAAACGUAGGGUGCAAGCGUUGUCCGGAAUUAUUGGGCGUAAAGAGCUCGUAGGCGGUUUGUCGCGUCUGCUGUGAAAUCCCGAGGCUCAACCUCGGGCUUGCAGUGGGUACGGGCAGACUAGAGUGCGGUAGGGGAGAUUGGAAUUCCUGGUGUAGCGGUGGAAUGCGCAGAUAUCAGGAGGAACACCGAUGGCGAAGGCAGAUCUCUGGGCCGUAACUGACGCUGAGGAGCGAAAGCGUGGGGAGCGAACAGGAUUAGAUACCCCAGUAGUCCCUGUCUCUUAUAU